rnacentral:rRNA from 1 species
AGGGGCCUACGGGACGCAGCAGUGGGGAAUAUUGCACAAUGGGGGAAACCCUGAUGCAGCAACGCCGCGUGAAGGAAGACGGUUUUCGGAUUGUAAACUUCUUUUCUUAGUGAAGAAGCAAGUGACGGUAGCUAAGGAAUAAGCAUCGGCUAACUACGUGCCAGCAGCCGCGGUAAUACGUAGGAUGCGAGCGUUAUCCGGAAUUACUGGGUGUAAAGGGAGCGCAGGCGGGACUGCAAGUUGGAUGUGAAAUACCGGAGCUUAACUGCGGAGCUGCAUCCAAAACUGUAGAUCUUGAGUGGAGG